CUGUAAAGUUCUAAGUUCUUAAACUUCAAGUUUAAUGUGUGUGUGUGUGUGUGUUUUUAAGUAGCUGAGGUCUCUAAGAAAACUGUUACAGAAGAGAAAAGAUUUUUUGCAGAAGAAAAAGUAUCAAUGGCAGUUCCCCACAGAGUGGAAGUCACCCACCAUGAAGUAUCAGCAGAGGAAGAAUGGGGUUAUGAAGAAGAAGAAGAAGAAGAAGUAUCCGUUUCAGUUUAUAGAGAAGAGGAAAGAGAAGAGGAGGAGGAGGAACGAGUGGAGGUUACAGCAUAUGAAGUGAUGGAAGAGCCAGAAGAAUAUGUCAUGGAAGAAAAGCUACAUGUUAUUUCUAAAAGGGUCGAAAUGGAACCUGCUGAAGUGCCCGAGAUGCCUCGGAGAGUGGUCCAGAAACAAAAAGUACCUGCUGCUGUUCCUCCAAAAGAGGAGGCUCCUCCUGUAAAAGGUAUAAUCUCCUAUGAAAAAUGCAGACUCAUCCUUGUCUUUUAACUCUUCUUUGGACAAUGUUUAAUUAAAAUUAUGUCAAUACAUAGAUGUCUAUUUGUUCCCCU
rnacentral:lncRNA from 1 species